rnacentral:rRNA from 1 species
UACAGAGGGUGCAAGCGUUGUUCGGAAUUAUUGGGCGUAAAGGGCGCGUAGGCGGUGCUGUAAGUCUGUAGUGAAAUCUCUGGGCUCAACUCAGAGUCUGCUAUAGAAACUGCAGUGCUAGAGUGUGGGAGAGGUGAGUGGAAUUCCCGGUGUAGCGGUGAAAUGCGUAGAUAUCGGGAGGACACCUGUGGCGAAAGCGGCUCACUGGACCACAACUGACGCUGAGGCGCGAAAGCUAGGGGAGCAAACAGG